rfam:Treponema denticola ATCC 35405, complete genome.
GCAACAAAGUGAAAAAGCAUAUAUAAUAAUGCGACGUUUGCCGAAAGGCAAACUCGGCAGAUAAACAGUGAGGCUGAAUUCCUGCCGAACUGUUUAUCAUAC